rnacentral:rRNA from 1 species
AGAGUUUGAUCCUGGCUCAGGAUGAACGCUAGCUACAGGCUUAACACAUGCAAGUCGAGGGGCAGCAUGGUCUUAGCUUGCUAAGGCCGAUGGCGACCGGCGCACGGGUGAGUAACACGUAUCCAACCUGCCGUCUACUCUUGGACAGCCUUCUGAAAGGAAGAUUAAUACAAGAUGGCAUCAUGAGUUCGCAUGUUCACAUGAUUAAAGGUAUUCCGGUAGACGAUGGGGAUGCGUUCCAUUAGAUAGUAGGCGGGGUAACGGCCCACCUAGUCUUCGAUGGAUAGGGGUUCUGAGAGGAAGGUCCCCCACAUUGGAACUGAGACACGGUCCAAACUCCUACGGGAGGCAGCAGUGAGGAAUAUUGGUCAAUGGACGAGAGUCUGAACCAGCCAAGUAGCGUGAAGGAUGACUGCCCUAUGGGUUGUAAACUUCUUUUAUAAAGGAAUAAAGUCGGGUAUGCAUACCCGUUUGCAUGUACUUUAUGAAUAAGGAUCGGCUAACUCCGUGCCAGCAGCCGCGGUAAUACGGAGGAUCCGAGCGUUAUCCGGAUUUAUUGGGUUUAAAGGGAGCGUAGAUGGAUGUUUAAGUCAGUUGUGAAAGUUUGCGGCUCAACCGUAAAAUUGCAGUUGAUACUGGAUAUCUUGAGUGCAGUUGAGGCAGGCGGAAUUCGUGGUGUAGCGGUGAAAUGCUUAGAUAUCACGAAGAACUCCGAUUGCGAAGGCAGCCUGCUAAGCUGCAACUGACAUUGAGGCUCGAAAGUGUGGGUAUCAAACAGGAUUAGAUACCCUGGUAGUCCACACGGUAAACGAUGAAUACUCGCUGUUUGCGAUAUACUGCAAGCGGCCAAGCGAAAGCGUUAAGUAUUCCACCUGGGGAGUACGCCGGCAACGGUGAAACUCAAAGGAAUUGACGGGGGCCCGCACAAGCGGAGGAACAUGUGGUUUAA